GACGAACGCUGGCGGCGUGCUUAACACAUGCAAGUCGAACGGAAAGGCUCCUGCUUGCAGGGGUACUCGAGUGGCGAACGGGUGAGUAACACGUGGGUGAUCUGCCUUGUACUCUGGGAUAAGCUUGGGAAACUGGGUCUAAUACCGGAUAGUAGCUGCCUUUAGUGUGGUGGUUGGAAAGUUUUUUCGGUGCAAGAUGAGCUCGCGGCCUAUCAGCUUGUUGGUGGGGUAAUGGCCUACCAAGGCGUCGACGGGUAGCCGGCCUGAGAGGGUGUACGGCCACAUUGGGACUGAGAUACGGCCCAGACUCCUACGGGAGGCAGCAGUGGGGAAUAUUGCACAAUGGGCGGAAGCCUGAUGCAGCGACGCCGCGUGGGGGAUGACGGCCUUCGGGUUGUAAACUCCUUUCGACAGGGACGAAGCUUUUGUGACGGUACCUGUAUAAGAAGCACCGGCUAACUACGUGCCAGCAGCCGCGGUAAUACGUAGGGUGCGAGCGUUGUCCGGAAUUACUGGGCGUAAAGAGCUCGUAGGUGGUUUGUCGCGUCGUCUGUGAAAUUCCGGGGCUUAACUCCGGGCGUGCAGGCGAUACGGGCAUAACUUGAGUGCUGUAGGGGAGACUGGAAUUCCUGGUGUAGCGGUGAAAUGCGCAGAUAUCAGGAGGAACACCGAUGGCGAAGGCAGGUCUCUGGGCAGUAACUGACGCUGAGGAGCGAAAGCAUGGGUAGCGAACAGGAUUAGAUACCCUGGCAGUCCAUGCCGUAAACGGUGGGCGCUAGGUGUAGGGGGCUUCCACGUCUUCUGUGCCGUAGCUAACGCAUUAAGCGCCCCGCCUGGGGAGUACGGCCGCAAGGCUAAAACUCAAAGGAAUUGACGGGGGCCCGCACAAGCGGCGGAGCAUGUGGAUUAAUUCGAUGCAACGCGAAGAACCUUACCUGGGCUUGACAUACACCAGAUCGCUGCAGAGAUGUAGUUUCCCUUGUGGUUGGUGUACAGGUGGUGCAUGGUUGUCGUCAGCUCGUGUCGUGAGAUGUUGGGUUAAGUCCCGCAACGAGCGCAACCCUUGUCUUAUGUUGCCAGCAUUUUAGUUGGGGACUCAUGAGAGACUGCCGGGGUUAACUCGGAGGAAGGUGGGGAUGACGUCAAAUCAUCAUGCCCCUUAUGUCCAGGGCUUCACACAUGCUACAAUGGUCGGUACAACGCGCAGCGACGCUGUGAGGUGGAGCGAAUCGCUGAAAGCCGGCCUUAGUUCGGAUUGGGGUCUGCAACUCGACCCCAUGAAGUCGGAGUCGCUAGUAAUCGCAGAUCAGCAAUGCUGCGGUGAAUACGUUCCCGGGCCU
rnacentral:rRNA from 1 species